rnacentral:rRNA from 1 species
UGGUGGAGUGAUUUGUCUGCUCAAUUGCGAUAACGAACGAGACCUCGGCCCUUAAAUAGCCCGGCCCGCGUUUGCGGGCCGCUGGCUUCUUAGGGGGACUAUCGGCUCAAGCCGAUGGAAGUGCGCGGCAAUAACA